rnacentral:lncRNA from 1 species
CUUAACCUUCCUUGAUUCAAAUCUAAUUCAUCUUGAUCAAAGAUCAAGUGAAUGGCUUUGCAUUAAGGAUAGUUUGCUUCUUGGUCAAGCAAAAAACCUAAAUCAAUACAAGAUCAUUCUGCUUUUCUUUUGGCAUGACAAGUUGUAGGAGCUUGGCUUACUAGUCAAGGUCUCUAACUUGUGUUUGUUGCCUAUAUUUUUAUUGAUCGACCUCAGAUAGGUGUGAC